rnacentral:rRNA from 1 species
UGGGGAAUAUUGGACAAUGGGGGGAACCCUGAUCCAGCCAUGCCGCGUGUGUGAAGAAGGUCUUCGGAUUGUAAAGCACUUUAAGUAGGGAGGAAGGGCAGUAAGCGAAUACCUUGCUGUUUUGACGUUACCGACAGAAUAAGCACCGGCUAACUCUGUGCCAGCAGCCGCGGUAAUACAGAGGGUGCAAGCGUUAAUCGGAAUUACUGGGCGUAAAGCGCGCGUAGGUGGUUCGUUAAGUUGAAUGUGAAAGCCCCGGGCUCAACCUAGGAACUGCAUCCAAAACUGGCGAGCUAGAGUAGGGCAGAGGGUGGUGGAAUUUCCUGUGUAGCGGUGAAAUGCGUAGAUGUUGGAAGGGACACCAGUGGCGAAGGCGACCACCUGGGCUCAUACUGACACUGAGGUGCGAAAGCGUGGGGAGCAAACAGG